rnacentral:rRNA from 1 species
GUUGAACGCUGGCGGCGUGCUUAACACAUGCAAGUCGAUCGGUAACAGGUGUAGCAAUACAUGCUGACGAGAGGCGGACGGGUGAGUAAUGCUUGGGAAUCUGCCUAUUAGUGGGGGACAACCCGGGGAAACUCGGGCUAAUACCGCAUACGCUCUACGGAGGAAAGCCGGGGACCGCAAGGCCUGGCGCUAAUAGAUGAGCCCAAGUCGGAUUAGCUAGUUGGUAGGGUAACGGCCUACCAAGGCGACAAUCCGUAGCUGGUCUGAGAGGACGACCAGCCACACCGGAACUGAGACACGGUCCGGACUCCUACGGGAGGCAGCAGUGGGGAAUAUUGGACAAUGGGGGCAACCCUGAUCCAGCGACGCCGCGU